AUGGUGAGGCGACAUAAAUACUACUACACGGUUUCCAUAUGUACUCAUCGUGUGGAAAUAUUGGAGGCGGAUGCAAGCACGGGCGCAUGGGUGCCAUUGGAUGUUAGCGAUGGGUUAGGCGGCGGCCGGGCACUCUUCAUUAGCAUGAAUUUCUCUAAGUCCGUUUCAGCACCCUGUGGAGAGGUCGAGGAGGAUGUCAUUUAUGAUAUUGACACAGGCGAGUUGUUCGAUAUGAAGACUCAGACUUCCAGACAAAAAAGAUUUUGUACACCUUCCCAGGGGAUAACUUGGCUCUUCCCUCCAGAGUUGGUGCUAUGA
rnacentral:rRNA from 1 species